rnacentral:lncRNA from 1 species
AGCAAGAGAUAUCGAGGCUGGCUGCUGGAGAAUGGAGACCCUGAGUUGUUGCAGAAAAGAGACAGAGAGACUAAACACCCUGCAAGGUCCUUUAGAAUUAGGUUAGAAUUAGGCCUACAGGCCAGUCAGCGUGGGUCACUGCUUGUGAGUCCUGUAAAGGCAGAGAAAGGAGAGAGGAUCCUGCCUGCAGCAGGUGGUUCCGAAGGCAUUUCAACCAAUUGCUAUCUGGAGGAGAGGGAAAGGAAAAGAAAUGUCCUUUGGAGAAAGACAAACAUUGGAGGUAAAGGAAGAUUACACGGAAUCCUGAAACAGGUGUUCCUAGGACUAUCAUUUCACUUGUGUUUCAUGACUGAGUGCGCUGAGCAGACAGGAGAGGGUCCCAGUUACCUGCAAUGUACCAGGCAACAUCAGGCAAUGUAUCAGGCAAUAUCUACAGUGAUCUUUCUUCCAGGUGGCCAGGGACCUCCUGCCUGCUCCUCCCAGGUGUUUGCCAGAGGUGGGAUCCCACAUGGGCUCAGGGCAGCCCCCUUUGCCCCUCUCCAGCCUGCCCAGCACCUCUCAGAUGCAUCACAGCCUCUUGCCAACAACUAA